rnacentral:rRNA from 1 species
GAGUUUGAUCGUGGCUCAGAUUGAACGCUGGCGGCAGGCCUAACACAUGCAAGUCGAGCGGAUGACGGGAGCUUGCUCCUUGAUUCAGCGGCGGACGGGUGAGUAAUGCCUAGGAAUCUGCCUGGUAGUGGGGGACAACGUUUCGAAAGGAACGCUAAUACCGCAUACGUCCUACGGGAGAAAGCAGGGGACCUUCGGGCCUUGCGCUAUCAGAUGAGCCUAGGUCGGAUUAGCUAGUUGGUGGGGUAAUGGCUCACCAAGGCGACGAUCCGUAACUGGUCUGAGAGGAUGAUCAGUCACACUGGAACUGAGACACGGUCCAGACUCCUACGGGAGGCAGCAGUGGGGAAUAUUGGACAAUGGGCGAAAGCCUGAUCCAGCCAUGCCGCGUGUGUGAAGAAGGUCUUCGGAUUGUAAAGCACUUUAAGUUGGGAGGAAGGGCAGUAAGUUAAUACCUUGCUGUUUGACGUUACCGACAGAAUAAGCACCGGCUAACUCUGUGCCAGCAGCCG